UCCAUGGGAGUCCAGUGGUUAGGACUCAACACUUUCACUGCUAGGGCCCAGGUACAAUCCCUGGUUGGGGAA
rfam:TPA: Bos taurus chromosome 2, whole genome shotgun sequence.